rnacentral:misc_RNA from 1 species
AAGCACUCAUCAUAAUAUAUAUUAAUUCAUCAACACAUCCAAUGCAACAUCUCCUGAAAAAUCACAAAGGGAACCCAACCCAUACAAAUUAAUUAACCCACUUAUAAGGAAAACAUUGCAGCUACCACCCCCACUGCAAGGAUCACCUCAAUUUUGUGCACACCAAAACUUGCCACCCCAGAGACAUCAUCAAUAGGAACAGUAGGACUCUCUAAAACCGGAGCCUUCUUAGGCUUCUCUGGCGGCGGUGCCACCACCAGUGGAGCUGGAGCUGGAGCAGGAGCUGGAGGUAGGUUAGGAGCGAAAAGCUCCAUAGGAAGUAGCACCUGAUCAAUCUGAUAAAUUGCAAGCUGGUUGUCGUUGUAUAUAGUGCCAGAUAUGGUGGUAUUGAUGACCCCUGUAGUUAUGUUCACAGCACUCCCUGUGGUGGUCACAUUUAGUGCCAUCCGGCCACCCUUUCCUGCCUGAGUCUUUAAAGGGUUACUUACUGUUUGGAACUGGGAAGGUGAUAUGUAUAUAGGAGAUAUAUGAAACUUCACCAACUUGACCUUGUCUCCAUCGCUUAAGGAGUUGAGAGUGCCCACUUUGAGCCCUGAAAAUGCACCAUCAGUAGGAGCGAAGAUGGUUAUUCCAUUAUGUGUGUGAUUAAGCUCCACAGUUAAUUCUGUGUCCGAUUGGGUGGCUUUCAAUAGGCGGACAAAGAGUGAGUAGUGGCCUGCCCUUUCCAGGAUAUUAACCACAUUGAUGGGGCCAGGCAAUACCGGUACUUGUGCAGCAGGUGGAGGCGGUGCCUGCACUGGGGCCACCGUUGGUGCUUGUACUGGAGCUGCCGCCGGGGAUAGGGAUACGGUUU